GGUGAACGCUAGCGGCAGGCCUAAUACACGCAAGUCGAACGGUGUCUUCGGACAUAGUGGCGCACGGGUGCGUAACACGUAUGCAACCUACCUUACAUUGGGGGAUAGCCUUUCGAAAGGGAGAUUAAUACCGCAUAAGACAGUAGCUGGGCAUCCAGCAGCUGUUAAAGAUUUAUCGAUGUAAGCUGGGCAUGCGUCCAAUUAGCUAGUUGGUGAGGUAACGGCUCACCAAGGCAAUGAUUGGUAGGGGAACUGAGAGGUCAAUCCCCCACACUGGCACUGAGAUACGGGCCAGACUCCUACGGGAGGCAGCAGUAGGGAAUAUUGGGCAAUGGACGCAAGUCUGACCCAGCCAUGCCGCGUACAGGAUGAAGGCGUUAUGCGUUGUAAACUGCUUUUAUACAGGAAGAAACGACUCUUGCGAGAGGCAUUGACGGUACUGUAUGAAUAAGCACCGGCUAACUCCGUGCCAGCAGCCGCCGUAAUAC
rnacentral:rRNA from 1 species